ACACUGGUGGUUCAGUGGUAGAAUUAUUGUCCUCCAUGCAGUAGACCCGGGUUUGAUUCCCAGCCAAUGCA
rnacentral:tRNA from 1 species